AGUUUUGUGCAGUGGCAGUAUCAUAGCCAAUGAGGUUUGUCCAAUGUACAAUUAUUGCUAAUUGAAAACGUUUCA
rfam:Pan troglodytes isolate Yerkes chimp pedigree #C0471 (Clint) chromosome 1, whole genome shotgun sequence.